GUAAAUAUAGUUUAAUUAAAACAUUAGAUUGUGAAUCUGAAUAUAGAAACCUACCACUUCUUAUUUACC
rnacentral:tRNA from 1 species